CAGGUCGUCGAUGACGGGCUGCCAGACCGACUUCAGGUUGGUCGACGAUUCCGUCGAGAUGAUGCCGAAGUUCAGCGUCUUGGCGUCUUGC
rnacentral:tRNA from 7 species